GGGUGAGUAAUGCCUAGGAAUCUGCCUGGUAGUGGGGGACAACGUUUCGAAAGGAACGCUAAUACCGCAUACGUCCUACGGGAGAAAGCAGGGGACCUUCGGGCCUUGCGCUAUCAGAUGAGCCUAGGUCGGAUUAGCUAGUUGGUGAGGUAAUGGCUCACCAAGGCUACGAUCCGUAACUGGUCUGAGAGGAUGAUCAGUCACACUGGAACUGAGACACGGUCCAGACUCCUACGGGAGGCAGCAGUGGGGAAUAUUGGACAAUGGGCGAAAGCCUGAUCCAGCCAUGCCGCGUGUGUGAAGAAGGUCUUCGGAUUGUAAAGCACUUUAAGUUGGGAGGAAGGGCAGUAAGCUAAUACCUUGCUGUUUUGACGUUACCGACAGAAUAAGCACCGGCUAACUCUGUGCCAGCAGCCGCGGUAAUACAGAGGGUGCAAAGCGUUAAUCGGAAUUACUGGGCGUAAAGCGCGCGUAUGUGGUUUGUUAAGUUGGAUGUGAAAGCCCCGGGCUCAACCUGGGAACUGCAUCCAAAACUGGCAAGCUAGAGUAUGGUAGAGGGUGGUGGAAUUUCCUGUGUAGCGGUGAAAUGCGUAGAUAUAGGAAGGAACACCAGUGGUGAAGGCGACCACCUGGACUGAUACUGACACUGAGGUGCGAAAGCGUGGGGGAGCAAACAGGAUUAGAUACCCUGGUAGUCCACGCCCUAAACGAUGUCUACUAGUUGUCGGGUUUUAAUUAACUUGGUAACGCAGCUAACGCGUGAAGUAGACCGCCUGGGGAGUACGGUCGCAAGAUUAAAACUCAAAGGAAUUGACGGGGACCCGCACAAGCGGUGGAUGAUGUGGAUUAAUUCGAUGCAACGCGAAAAACCUUACCUACCCUUGACAUGUCCAGGAGCCCGAAGAGAUUUGGGUGUGCCCGAAAGGGAGCUGGAACACAGGUGCUGCAUGGCUGUCGUCAGCUCGUGUCGUGAGAUGUUGGGUUAAGUCCCGCAACGAGCGCAACCCUUGUCGUUAAUUGCCAUCAUUUAGUUGGGCACUUUAACGAGACUGCCGGUGACAAACCGGAGGAAGGCGGGGACGACGUCAAGUCAUCAUGGCCCUUACGAGUAGGG
rnacentral:rRNA from 1 species